AAAGGUGAUAAUUAAAGGAAAGAAGAUGGUGAAAAUGGAGAGGAUAGUAAUCCAUAAUAGUUAACGAUGGCUUUUGUGGGGCCAUAAAAAUUUAUACGUAUUGUACUGUUUCAACAUCCAGUACCUAUUUUGUUAUCGGUUGGAAUUUGUUUGAACCUAAAUUAUCUGUAGAAUUAUCUCUGCAAAAUAAUUUUGGAUCUAAACAUUUAUAAUUUUGCAACGUAAAUAAAUCAAUUGUAUCGUAAACCAAAUCCAUUUCCCAUUCUUCAACAAAGCAAAACAAAGGUUAAUCGGUGCUCGACGUCGUUUUGAGAUGGAUUCAAUUCCAGGGACUUAGCACAACAACACAGAUCUCUUGGAAUUGCUCAAUUGUGAAGGUACUGAAGGUUUAGGAAGGGAUUCAAGACAUUUGACAGUAUCUGCUAAUGACCGUGACUGAAGAGAAAGCAAAUUGAGAGAAAAUUGCAUCAAAAGACUUUUCAUUUCAGUUUAGUAUUUUUACAUUUGCAUUCAGUCAAAACAAUGUGCCAAAUAAUAUAACGAGUCUCUAUAUCCUUAACUGUCAUGCGCAUUUUCAGAAGCAAUAUUAGUCUGGAAGGGAAUGAAAUACAAAAGACAGUAUAUAUGCAAAUGUAAGAAGACCAUCUUGACCAUUGGAUGCUGUAGAGGAUCCUACAAGUGAGUUAGUUGCCUGUGCUUUCACCCACAAUAAGACUUCUAUAUACGAGACUUCAUGUGAACAAAGGGUCAUCUUCAAGGGUCAUAUGAUUGUCUUCACCAUGCAGCUGGUUUCUGUGCUCUCAUCCUCUGUCCAUUAAUUGUCGAUGCAUAAAUGGUUGUUCUCCAUCUGUAAUAUGGCAAAAAAUAGUUACACAAUUACAACUAUUAUACUUGUUUGUGAAAAACAUACACCAUAAAUCUGUUGUGAUUAGUCCAUAGCACUUUAAUGGAGACCUCACGCAUAACCAAUUGUGCAAACCAGGUUAUCAAUUAUUGAGAAAAAUCCAAGUCUCACAUACAGUACAAUAAAGACCGACACAUCUCACCUUAUAAGCCGAUUGUAUAAGAAUAAAUUAGGAUCAAUAUAAAAACCUAAUAUCACUGAACAUUAAUAUA